UUCCGCCUGGGGAGUACGGCCGCAAGGCUGAAACUCAAAGGAAUUGACGGGGACCCGCACAAGCAGCGGAGCAUGUGGUUUAAUUCGAUGCAACGCGAAGAACCUUACCUACUCUUGACAUCCAGAGAACUUAGCAGAGAUGCUUUGGUGCCUUCGGGAACUCUGAGACAGGUGCUGCAUGGCUGUCGUCAGCUCGUGUUGUGAAAUGUUGGGUUAAGUCCCGCAACGAGCGCAACCCUUAUCCUUUGUUGCCAGCGGUCCGGCCGGGAACUCAAAGGAGACUGCCAGUGAUAAACUGGAGGAAGGUGGGGAUGACGUCAAAUCAUCAUGCCCCUUAUGACCUGGG
rnacentral:rRNA from 1 species